CGUUAUUUUAUUUGGAAUCACUUACACUUUAUUUGUUUGGUGUGCCUUACAACACUAAUCUUCUGUUGUUUUUGGAGGAGCAGGUGUCUUAUUUUGGGAGAAUUAUCCCGUUAUUUUAUUUGGAAUCACUUACACUUUAUUUGUUUGGUGUGCCUUACAACACUAAUCUUCUGUUGUUUUUGGAGGAGCAGGUGUCUUAUUUUGGGAGAAUUAUCCCGUUAUUUUAUUUGGAAUCACUUACACUUUAUUUGUUUGGUGUGCCUUACAACACUAAUCUUCUGUUGUUUUUGGAGGAGCAGGUAAGUCCCCUUGGCCUGUGUUUGUGGCUGUUUGUGUUUGUUCAAAGUGUUUUGCUUAUGUUUGUCAUCCAUCUUUAUAAUAAAUUAACUA